rnacentral:rRNA from 1 species
UAGGGAAUCUUCCACAAUGGGUGAAAGCCUGAUGGAGCAACGCCGCGUGUGUGAUGAAGGGUUUCGGCUCGUAAAACACUGUUGUAAGAGAAGAAUGACAUUGAGAGUAACUGUUCAAUGUGUGACGGUAUCUUACCAGAAAGGAACGGCUAAAUACGUGCCAG